rnacentral:rRNA from 1 species
GACGAACGCUGGCGGCGUGCUUAACACAUGCAAGUCGAGCGAGAAAGCGGCUUCGGCCGUGAGUACAGCGGCGAACGGGUGAGUAACACGUGGGCAACCUGCCCCAGAGAUUGGGAUAACGUCCCGAAAGGGACGCUAAUACCGAAUAACGCGUGACCUGCCAAGUGGGUCACGCCAAAUGGUAGCCUCGGCCUCUGCUCUGGGAUGGGCCCGCGCCGGAUUAGCUUGUUGGUAGGGUAACGGCCUACCAAGGCGACGAUCCGUAGCUGGUCUGAGAGGACGAUCAGCCACACUGGGACUGAGACACGGCCCAGACUCCUACGGGAGGCAGCAGUGGGGAAUCUUGCGCAAUCGGCGAAAGCCUGACGCAGCAACGCCGCGUGAGCGAAGACGGCCUUCGGGUUGUAAAGCUCUGUCAGGAGGGACGAAGCCACUCGGGUGAAUAGCCCAGAGGGUGACGGUACCUCCAGAGGAAGCCCCGGCUAACUACGUGCCAGCAGCCGCAGUAACAC